UGGGCGGGAUGCUCGCUGAAGAAGCACGCCCACGGUGGCGGUCGCUUGGCAACGUCUCAUCUCGCGAUGCUCUCCGAAACCCGCGAGAGUCUCGCCAAGGAAGAUGGUUGCUCGGCAACGCGUCCUCCCUUAGCCGCCUUUCAACUGCGCCGAUGUUCUCUGGAGCGCGCGUUGCUUGUCGGUUGCUAGGCAACAGUGCAGCUCACGUGUUCUCCAGCCUGAGCACAGUUGCUAGGCAACCUCAUCCUCCGAUCCUCUCUAGGCGGAAGGCCGUGGCUUGGAAAUUUGCUCGUCAUCGGAGCGCCAGGGGGGGCUGCCUUCUCUGCUGGCCAGCGUACCUAUGACUUCCCCAUGGACGCAGGCACUUCGUCUGCAUCGUCUCCAACAAGGUCUUCCUAUCUGAACCCUUUGGCCCGGAAUAGAGGUGUCCGAAUUUCUGAAGCUCCAAGUUGGCCCGAAUCUCCAUGCACCUCUGACCCCACCCAGAAAGAGAGAAAAUGAUAAGACACAUGGGGUGAUGGAGGGUCAGAGUUCGAGGAUUUUGCAUGCCUGAGUGCCUAGGAAGAGGAACUCAGAGAAAACCUCAUUGUACUGAACCUAGCCCUUUGUGGCUGGGCAACUGGACCACCUCUUCCUUGUGCUUAGAGACCCUUAGCCAAGGCUGUAGGUUAUGCUGACCAGAAACCUGAUCAGAUCCAAAGAUCAAUCUGAGGAAGGCUAUUGGUCCCGAUUUGUUGGGAAAUCCUCAUGCAUUGCGUACUCAGAAUGCUCAGGAAGCUGUCAUUUCACCGUUCCCCUGCAACGCCUGUGACUGUAGAGGGCGCCAUUAUCCUCGAAGUCCCUCAGGCUCACAACCUGAGGCAUCCUGGACUCCUCCUCUCUCACCCUGCCCCCUAAGCUGUUAGCAAGGCUUGUCUAUUUCACCUCUGCAGCAUCUCUAAUACGCCCCCCUUCUUUCCUCUGGCUUGGCCCCUACCCUGGUGUGGACCCUCGUCCCCUCAUGCCUGGAUUAUUGCAAUGGCUGCAGAUGGGUCUGCCUACAUCCAGUCAAUCCCCACUCCAGUCCAUUCUCCAUUCAGCCACCAGAGUGAUUACCCUAAAGCUCAGGUCUAACAAUGUCAACUCCCCUUUCCCCUCCCCGCCUGUUACCUCCAUGAGCAAAUACAUAAUGCUGUGGCAUUGAAAGUCCUUCGGAGCCCAGCCCCCUCCUGUCUUUCCAGUCCCCUCACAUCUCACUCUAUGAUACAUACUCUUCAGUACAGUGACGCCAGCCUCCUGGCUGUUCUGCAGACCACUGACCUCCCUGGCUUCCUUUAAACCCCAACUAAAA